ACAAAGAGCAGCAAGUUCGCGAGGACAAGCAAAUCUCAUAAACCGUGGCUCAGUUCAGAUCGUAGGCUGCAACUCGCCUACGUGAAGGAGGAAUCGCUAGUAAUCGCAGGUCAGCAUACUGCGGUGAAUACGUUCCCGGGCCUUGUACACACCGCCCGUCACACCAUGGAAGUUGGCCACGCCCGAAGCCGUUACUCCAACCCUUGUGGAGGAGAACGUCGAAGGUGGGGCUGAUGACUGGGGUGAAGUCGUAACAAGGUAGCCGUACCGGAAGGUGCGGCUGGAUCACCUCCUAA
rnacentral:rRNA from 1 species